rnacentral:misc_RNA from 1 species
UGGACGAUUAGGUUCUGAAACAACAAUUUUUUUAGCACAACUAUAAGCAUUGCUGAUAAUUAUUGAGCUAUCAGAUACAAAAAUUUGAUCCGGCUUGGCUUUCCCAGGUAAAAACUGCGGCACCAUGCUAAUUUGCUAAGUACAUCUCACUCUAAUUAUUAAAUCCUGUGAUGUGCCAAACAAAUUGUUGUUUCAGAACUUGUCUUCGACUCAACCAUCCCACAAUUUUGAAGGAAACACAUGACCAGUUCAGACUAUUUGUGAUAUUCAUCAGUCUACAAAUGGGGCCCACACAAUAAUCCUGUCAAUUAUGCAUUUUGUUGGACUUGUCUAUGUAUUAGCAGCAUCCAAUCAACAUAUCCAUUUGUACCCCCAAUUGCAUCCUCCACCAGGUUUGUGAGGACAAGGAAGCCUUCUCUGGGCUGCUCACCUUGCCUCACAAGAUAGCACAGCUGAUAAUAUGAUCGAUCAUUCUCCCUUAAUUUUUUAAGGAUCUCCAUUAACUUCCUUGACAUUUCAGUAUCCCGCUCACUGAGUGUAACCUUGGAUAACUCAGCUGCUGCAUCUGGCCCAAGUAGAGUCAUUGCUAUAUCAGGUGAAAGCAUUCUACCAAA